GACGAACGCUGGCGGCGUGCUUAACACAUGCAAGUCGAACGGAAAGGCCUCUUUCGGGGGGUACUCGAGUGGCGAACGGGUGAGUAACACGUGAGUAACGUGCCCUUGACUUUGGGAUAACUUCAGGAAACUGGGGCUAAUACCGGAUAGGAGCUCCUGCUGCAUGGUGGGGGUUGGAAAGUUUCGGCGGUUGGGGUUGGACUCGCGGCUUAUCAGCUUGUUGGUGGGGUAGUGGCUUACCAAGGCUUUGCCGGGUAGCCGGCCUGAGAGGGUGACCGGCCACAUUGGGACUGAGAUACGGCCCAGACUCCUACGGGAGGCAGCAGUGGGGAAUAUUGCACAAUGGGUGGAAGCCUGAUGCAGCAACGCCGUGUGCGGGAUGACGGCCUUCGGGUUGUAAACCGCUUUCGCUCAUGACGAAGCUUUGUGUGACGGUAGUGGGUAAAGAAGCACCGGCUAACUACGU
rnacentral:rRNA from 1 species